rnacentral:rRNA from 1 species
AGUGAACGCUGGCGGUAGGCCUAACACAUGCAAGUCGAACGGCAGCACAGUAAGAGCUUGCUCUUACGGGUGGCGAGUGGCGGACGGGUGAGGAAUACAUCGGAAUCUACUUUUUCGUGGGGGAUAACGUAGGGAAACUUACGCUAAUACCGCAUACGACCUACGGGUGAAAGAAGGGGAUCUUCGGACCUUGCGCGAUUGAAUGAGCCGAUGUCGGAUUAGCUAGUUGGCGGGGUAAAGGCCCACCAAGGCGACGAUCCGUAGCUGGCCUGAGAGGAUGAUCAGCCACACUGGAACUGAGACACAGUCCAGACUCCUACGGGAGGCAGCAGUGGGGAAUAUUGGACAAUGGGCGCAAGCCUGAUCCAGCCAUACCGCGUGGGUGAAGAAGGCCUUCGGGUUGUAAAGCCCUUUUGUUGGGAAAGAAAAGCAGCAGGUUAAUACCCCGCUGUUCUGACGGUACCCAAAGAAUAAGCACCGGCUAACUUCGUG